rnacentral:rRNA from 1 species
AUUGAACGCUGGCGGCAGGCUUAACACAUGCAAGUCGAGCGGGGGAAGGUAGCUUGCUACUGGACCUAGCGGCGGACGGGUGAGUAAUGCUUAGGAAUCUGCCUAUUAGUGGGGGACAACAUCUCGAAAGGGAUGCUAAUACCGCAUACGUCCUACGGGAGAAAGCAGGGGAUCACUUGUGACCUUGCGCUAAUAGAUGAGCCUAAGUCGGAUUAGCUAGUGGGGGGGGUAAAGGCCUACCAAGGCGACGAUCUGUAGCGGGUCUGAGAGGAGGAUCGUCCAGACUGGGACUGCGUCGCGUCCCAGACUCCUACGGGGGGCGGGAGUGUGGAAUAUGGGACAAUGGGGGGUACCCUGAUCCAGCCAUGCCGCGUGUGUGAGGAAGGCCUUAUGGUUGUAAAGCACUUUAAGCGAGGGUGAGGCUCUUUUGGUUAAUACCCAAGAUGAGUGUACGUUACUCGCAGAAUAAGCACCGGUUAACUCUGUGCCAGCAGCCGCCGUAA